UGAAACCUCCUUCCUUUGCCCCCUUCGCGAGGUCGCCGGAGCAGAAGGCGUUGUUCGCGUACAUGUUCCCUUCUCCCUCUCUAUCAGCCAUUGAAAAACGCCUAGGGUCAUUUUCCACCAAUCCUAGUGCUUACACCAAAGAAUUCCACUACCUCACCCAGGUUUAUGACCUCACCUGGCAUGAUACCUAUGUGAUUCUAUCCUCCACUCUCACCCCAGAUGAGCAUGACUGCAUCCUUACAGCAGCCCGGGUGCAUGCAGAUCAGGUACAUCUCACAGAUAAUCAAAUGUCAGUAGGUAUGGCAGCAGUCCCCAAGGCUGACUAAUCAGAACUAUCAAACUGGUCAAGAUGGUCGCCACCACCGCUGAGAACAAAUGCUACAGUGCCUCCUAGUGGGCAUGCAAAGCACAGCCCAAAAGCUGGACCCGGCCUCUUUACCAGCCAUACAUUUCAUCUCUCAGUCAGUGGCUGACAUUAGAAAGGAACUUAAAAAUGCUGAGGAGGGCCCCCAAACUCCCAUAUGAGACCUGGUAUUUAGUUUUAAUGGCCGAGAGGAAAAGGCUGAGGCCGCCCGCCAGGCCCAUCUACAGCAAAAGGUAAGCCUCCAAACCCAAGCUCUUGUGGCAGCCCUGAGGCCGGCAGCCCACCAGGCGCCUGGUGGAGGGUGUCCAUCAAAACCCACCAAGAACUCCAGAGGCAUUCCACCUGGGCCCUUUUUCAAGUGCGGUCAGGAGGGACACUGGGCACAUCAGUGUCCAUGUCCCUGACCACCUACCAAGCCCGGCCUGGACUGCAAGCAGCUUGGACAUUGGCGCAGUGAUUGCCCAUCCGGACUACAGGCCCAACCCCCACACCUCUACUCUAUGUGGAGGGCAGGCCGGUCCACAGAAAGCAAUCCCAUCGCUUGAACUUCUCGGCCUUCUGGACUGACACAGCCCGGACUCGAAGACCCCCAUCACCCUUGCCGAGCCCAGGGUAAUGCUGAAGUAUUAACAGCCGACGGGAGGUGAAAGGCAGCCUAUGCGGUAGUCACAGAUUCAGCCACCCUCAAGGCACGUCGCCUCCCUGAAGGAACCACAUCACAAAAGGUUGAAUUGAAGCCUUCCCCACCUCCCGGGAGACAGCAGACACGGUGGCCUCCCUCCUUACUCAAGAAAUCAUCCCUCUCUUAGGCCUACCUGCCACCAUCCAGUUGGACAAUGGUCCAGCAUUUAUGGUCCAAAUAGUCCAGCUCCUCUCCAAGUCCCUCAACAUCUCCCGGAAACUACACAUCCUUUACCAUCCUCAGUCACUGGGUAAAGUUGAACGGGCCCACGACAUCCUCAAAGACCAUUUGGCCAAACUUGCUAUUGAGGACCAGAGGACUCCCACCCAGCACCGCCUCUCCAACUGGGUGACAGCAUUCUCCUUCGAGAACUCAAACCAGGAUCCUUGCAACCCAGGUGGUCGGGACCCCACAUUGUUAUCCUAACCACCCCCACAGCAGCCAAACUCCUGGGUCACACUCCUUGGUACCAUGUGACCCGCCUCAAACUGGCCCCCCAAAAUAAUCAGUGGAAAUCUGAAUCCCUGGGCCCCCCGGGAGCCUCUGGGCCUCACCUCUGCCUCACCCAUGGCCCCGACCCAUCGCCCCCUAACCCUUCAGAGCCUCCUCCUGAUGGUCCUUCUGAUAUCUCCUCUUGAGGCCAACUCCUAUGUUUGGCGCUUCUACAUCCAGGGAUCCUGGACUGAUGCCCCACCACCAGGACCCAUUAUCUUGCACAGGCAAACUGCCAAACAGGCAGAUGUCAGUCUACUGUCUCCAUCCUCAUCCCACAUGGUAAAAGCAUCAUACUCAGUCGGGAUCAUGGGUUUCACUUUCAACACAGGCUAUGUUUUCUAUAUGACCAAACCAAGGACUACUAUCAUUGGUGGAAUACCACCUACAGGGGGUGCCCAUACAGCUCUUGUGUUAUCCACAAGCCACAGCCUCCAAGCCGUCCCAACCGCAUGCUCACUCGCUUCAGUAAUGGUUCCUUAGACUUCAACAUCCGCGACCCCUGGCACAGCUGUUGGGAUGCAGGCGUGUCUGGUAAAGUCUAUGAAGAUUAUACCUGGAGCCACCCUCAGGGAACACGGCUAAUAUUCCAGUCCUAUACCCACAUUGUCUCUUAAACAAUAGAACAGCUCAGUUCUGUAAGCCAUACAAUCCUGCAAAAUGAAGCCAUCCUAAGUAACCAAUUCAAACCCUCAGAUAACACCUCUCAGUCUUUCUCUUGGUUAACUCUAGUACAGGAGGGAGCCAACAUGUUAAAUUUAGCAAAAGCCAUGAAUAUCACCAACUGCUUUUUAUGUGCCUUUCUUAGCAACUCCCCCCCACCCCGCCCCCACUUAGCUGCAGUUCCUCUCAGGUCCAGGUUCAAUCCAUCACAAUCACCUAAGGGACCUGGCACCAUCUUAAUGGAUAUCCCCUUGUUCCAAGUACACCCUCAAAAUUUCUCUUUGCUGUGAGACAGCCAGCAGCUGCAGUCCCAGCUGUAACAUCACAGUAAAGGUAAAAUCCUCCCUCUACACACCACCAGAAGGAUAUUUCUGGUGUAAUGGAACCUUAACUAAAGUUAUUAAUGCCUCCUUCCCUUUCCCUUGUGUGCCUGUCACCUUGGUCCUGCAGUUAGAGGUAUAUGGACAGGCCAAAAUUCUAUCCCUCCUUCCACCCUCCCCUAAUCACUGAGACAGACGAGCAGUCUUCCUCCCAAUGGUUGUUGGUCUCUCUCUAGCAUCCUCUCUGGUGGCGGCCAGGCUGGGUAGUGGUGCCCUAGGCUACAGUGUCACCUCAGCCACUCAACUAAAGGACAAGCUUUGCAUGGCUAUUGAAGCGUCGGCCGCCUCCCUGGCCUCCCUCCAGCAACAAAUCACAUCACUGGCCCAGGUAACUCUCCAGAACUGAUGGGAACUUGACCUGCUGACAGCAGAAAAGGGAGGUACCUGUCUGUUUCUUCAGGGGCAGUGCUGCUAUUACAUCAAUGAAACAGGCCUUGUAGAAGAAAAUGUCAGCACUCUCUAUCACCUCCAAGAGGACCUCCACAAGAAGCAGAAUGUAUCAGUCUCGCCUCUUAACUGGUGGCAAUCCCCCAAGCUAACCUGGCUAACCCCUAUUAUCACUCCCAUCAUCAUAGUUUGUCUUCUGUUAAUGCUAGCCCCUUUUGUCCUCAGGGUUUUACAGGCCAGCAUGAGAGAAAUUUCCCGGGUGGCCAUAAACCAGAUGCUACUUCACCCAUGUCCAACUCCCAACCAAGGGCCGAAAUGUAAAGCUAGUUGCCUUGCCGGGAGGCUGGACACACCCACCUCUGCACUCAGCACCUGACUCUGUACCCGGCACCAGGCUCUGCACUCCGCACCUAGCUCUGCCGCAUGGCUCCCCCAGAAGGCUCCGGCUAAUGCAAUCCUGGCUGGCUCUCACACCAGAAAACCCACCCAACAACCUGCCAACCAAUGGCAGCCCACCCCAUCCCAAUCCCACUCCCCUGGAGCCAAUCAGAGCACCCAACUGUUGCUCAUUCCUCAUAGCCAUAAAAACCGCCCCACCCCAGGAAGUCAGCGUGACUUCUCUGGCCCCCUUUCCCAGGACAAUAGAACCUCGCCCGGGAGCAGAAUAAAUUGGCAUUUAAUUUUCU